CUUAGUGGCGGACGGGUGAGUAACGCGUGGGCAACCUGCCCUGUACCGGGGGAUAACACUUAGAAAUAGGUGCUAAUACCGCAUAAUAAGGAAGACCGCAUGGUGAUCCUUUGAAAACUCCGGUGGUACAGGAUGGGCCCGCGUCUGAUUAGCCAGUUGGCGGGGUAACGGCCCACCAAAGCGACGAUCAGCAGCCAGCCUGAGAGGGUGGACGGCCACACUGGGACUGAGACACGGCCCAGACUCCUACGGGAGGCAGCAG
rnacentral:rRNA from 1 species